GUGGGGAAUAUUGGACAAUGGGCGCAAGCCUGAUCCAGCCAUGCCGCGUGAGUGAUGAAGGCCUUCGGGUUGUAAAGCUCUUUAGCCGAUGAUUAUAAUGACUGUAGUCGGAAAAUAAGCCCCGGCUAACUUCGUGCCAGCAGCCGCGGUAAUAAGAAGGGGGCGAGCGUUAUUCGGAAUCACUGGGCGUAAAGCGUGCGUAGGCGGCUUUGCAAGUUGGGAGUGAAAGCCCAGGGCUCAACCCUGGAAUUGCUCUCAAAACUGCAAGGCUCGAAUUCGGGAGAGGAUAGCGGAAUUGUCAGUGUAGCAGUGAAAUGCGUAGAUAUUGACAGGAACACCAGUGGCGUAAGCGGCUAUCUGGACCGAUAUUGACGCUGAGGCACGAAAGCGUGGGGAUCAAACAGGAUUAGAAACCCUUGUAGUCC
rnacentral:rRNA from 1 species